rnacentral:lncRNA from 1 species
GAGAAACACUAACAAAAGAAUAAUAAAUCAAGUUUUUCUCACAGUAAAUAACCAUGACACAUUAAAAAAAAGAAGAAGAUAAAGAUGCAAAUUUUUAGACGUAUACGAUGAUUAAACCACCUUUGGUGCUUCUUCCACCUUAGUUGCAGGUGCUUCUUCCUUGUUUGGUUCUCCAGACUCAAUAACUAUCUCCUUCUCCUUCUCCUUCACCUUCACCUCCACCUCUUCAGUUGACGUGGCGGCUGGUGCAUGCACGUCAUCAGCAGCCGCGGGUUCCUCUUCCUUCUUAUCUUCUGUG